AUGGCUGUCGUCAGCUCGUGUCGUGAGAUGUUGGGUUAAGUCCCGUAACGAGCGCAACCCUUGUCCCUAGUUGCCAGCAUUUAGUUGGGCACUUUAGGGAGACUGCCGGUGACAAACCGGAGGAAGGUGGGGACGACGUCAAGUCAUCAUGGCCCUUACGACCAGGGCUACACACGUGCUACAAUGGGGCAUACAAAGGGUCGCGACCUCGCAAGAGUGAGCUAAUCCCAUAAAAUGUUUCGUAGUCCGGAUCGCAGUCUGCAACUCGACUGCGUGAAGUCGGAAUCGCUAGUAAUCGCGAAUCAGAAUGUCGCGGUGAAUACGUUCCCGGGCCUUGUACACACCGCCCGUCACACCAUGGGAGUGGGUUGCAAAAGAAGUGGGUAGUCUAACUUAGGAGGACGCUCACCACUUUGUGAUUCAUGACUGGGGUGAAGUCGUAACAAGGUAGCCGUAGGGGAACCUGCGGCUGGAUCACCUCCUUAACGAUAAGAUUUCAAACCUCUUCAGUAAGUACUCACCUCUAUUGCUUAAUCAUUAAUAAGUUUGACAUGACCCCUUUGAUUUAAUGAUCACUGAGUAAGUCAACAAACUUUACAUUUAGAACAGAACUCGGGUCUGUAGCUCAGUUGGUUAGAGCGCACCCCUGAUAAGGGUGAGGUCGGUGGUUCAAAUCCACCCAGACCCACCAGUUUAAUAAAUUGUGGCGCGAUUUAUUAAAUACCCGAAUUAAGAAAAGCUUAAUUCAUAUGGGCCAAGCAGGAUCUACAAAGAAUCUAAUACGAACACAAAGUUGAAGUUGAACCCUGUGUUUUAACUUAAAAAUGUCUCUGACAUUCUUAGGUUGUUAGUUACCGAACUAAGCUUUGCUUAUUUCGGUUGCGCAUUAAGACCUUUGGUUUUUUUGCGCUGAUCUUUAACAAUUCGGUGAAUGAAGACAUAUAUAUAUGUUUGUUAAGUGUUGGAUCGUUAGUGUUUGUGAUGAGCGCUAGGGUGAAGGCACUCCCAAAAAUGUGUGUAUGCUGUAAUCUUAAAACUUGAUUGUGUGCGUCGUUGUUUGACGUGUGUAAUCAAGGCAAAUCAAGUUAUACAAGUGCAAUAAAUCUGUACGAAGUCGUUACGAGUUGCAGAAAUUUUUCAUGUAGUCAUGUUCCAGGGUUUAUGCAAAGACUGGAAAUUGAAUCUGACGCAGUAGUCCUUAGCCGGACAAGUUAGAGUCCAUGAUUAUAUGGUCAAGCAACAAAGCGUGCGUGGUGGAUGCCUUGGCAGCUAGAGGCGAUGAAGGACGUGGUAGGCUACGAAAAGCUUCGGGGAGCCGUCAAACAGGCUUUGAUCCGGAGGUGUCCGAAUGGGGAAACCCGG
rnacentral:sRNA from 1 species